UAGGGAAAAACAGGGCUGCAGACACAGACAAGGCGGUCCCUUCAGACUUGAGGUCUGAGAGAUGAUUAAAGAACAUGCAACAGUGAAGAUGUCCUGGGCCGAGUUAGGCUAGCCCUUCCUCUAAGAAGCUGGGAUGUUCACUGACAGGACUGGAUGGGCAGGGGUGUAACAGCUCGAGAAAAGAGAAAUGCCAUAGCAAAGGCACAGAAGCAGAGAUGAGCAGGGAUCGCCUUGGACAGAGACCCCAGAUGGGGACCAGGGCAUGGGGGAAUCAAAAGGACGGGGACCUUUCACGACUUCAGGAGUCUGAACUGGACCCAGGAGACCACAGUCUUCAGCAUCAGGGAGGAAGACUGCAGGAAUCAGAGGCACGGGACGGGUGGCUCAGGGCAUUCCCAGAAUCCCUUUCUCCCUAGGACUCUCUCACUGAGUCGGGGAGUCUCUGCUUGACUGUCUCUGACCUUCUCACUUCUCCUGCUUAAGUGUUUCCUUCCCCAUCGGCCCCAGGGGCAGGUUGGAUCAGAGCCCAUCUAAGAGUUGCUCCAGCCCUGCCCUAUGCCAUGGCCCGGCAUCAGAAGGCCCAAGGUCAGAUGUGACCUUAAACACUUAAGUUGGAUGCAGGGGCCAAGAACUUCCCCAUGUCCUCAACCCUCCUCCAGGAACUCCAUCCUUCCUUCUUUGACCCCUGUCUUCUUCAGUGGCUGUCUCUGGGACUUAGAGACUCCCUGGAGGGGGAUGUUCUAGGCCAUUCUCCUCCAGCCUCCUAGGCUAUUUUCAGUGUACAGUCUCCUUCUCGGCUCUCUCCUGACCAUGCUCAGAUUUCUCAACUCUGCUUUAUUAGUUCCCUUGAAAUGUCUUGAUUUAUAACACCAUGAUUCAGCCAAUCAUUCUUAAUGUGGUAAGCAUGGACCAACAAGUCCCCAAUAUAAGCACACUCAUUCACACUGUAUCAAGGACAUAUCAUCAAUCACCGCACUUCCUGGUGUUAAUAGGCACAGGGGAAUGCUUGAGCCAGUUUGUACUAUUUGAGAGAGCAAAUUAGAGAAGUUUCUGGAAACUGGCAAAUAUAACAAAUCAGAUCUUCAUUUGUUGUUUUGCUUAUUGUCCAGAUUUUUUUAAAGUGAUGGAAAAAUUUUAAUGAUGAAUAUUAAACUUUAAAGUAUGUUGUAUAUACAUCCCCACCCUUGCCCAAGGCAGUGGACUGUUAAAUAUUUACCAGAAUGCCUCUGUUUUCAUAUCUUAUAUAAGAUUUCUUCAAAACCAGAACAAAGAUUUCAUUCUCAAGUCCUUUACCUUGAGAACUGUCUGUUGGUUCGAGUCCAAAUAUAUUAAUGCAUUUAAAGCAAAAAUUAACUGCCUCCACGGGUCAAUCUUUGGCCUUGUGCUGCUCAACAUUUUAAUCAAGGACUUAAAGACACAGAAGACAGUCUUAUCAAAUUCAAAAGGUGAAAAAUUCAGAAGGAUGGCUAACCUGCUGGACAGUAGAAUUAUGAAUCUAAAAGAUUUUAACAGAUUUGAGCGGUGGCUCAAAUUGAAUUAGAUGAAAUUUGAUAGAGAUGAAUAUAAAGUUCUAUAUUUGGAUUUUAAAAAAACUUUACAGGACAGGAUGAUAGAAGUAUGGGCAGAUAACCUUUUGUAUGGAGAAUAGAUAAGGAAGGCUUUGGAUGGCAAGC